rnacentral:misc_RNA from 1 species
UAGUAAAUGCAUUUUAUUUUUGAUUCUGCACUGCAUUCACAUUCAGUGCUGACGUUAGCGCUAAUCCUUCUAAGAUUGCAAUAUUUAUACUUAAUUAUCAAUUAAAUAAUCAAAAAAACUAUUCCACUUGAAUAAUCAUUUUUCAAAUCCUUUCUUAUUCGGCGACCCGAAUACAUUAAGAGGCGUUAUGUUCACGUAUUCAUAUAUGGUUGGAGCUGUUGCUCUACUUUUUUCGGGACAUUCACUGGGCGCAACUGUAGAUUCUGACGUAAGCCAACAAAUAAACUCCACCAAAGUAAUUCAUGCAGCCAAUUCGUCAGAGGAUAAAAAUAGUUUUUGGAAGACUUCGAGGGGAUCUGUAUUUAGUCUAUGGAAUAAUGCACUAGAUUCGGCAAGUAACUUUACAGAAGACUUUGUUGACCAAUUUAACCACACGAUAAGUUUCAACGGAACGGAUAUACAUGAUGUAUUGGAAGGGAUAAUUCCAUCAGCAAACGCAGUUUAUGUGGGUGCUGGAGUGGGGUUAUUUUGUGCACUGACUGGACCAUGUUUAUUGGUUGCGAUUGGUUUCGGUCCUGCGGGAAUAAUAUUAGGAUCAAUUGCGGCAAGCUGUCAAUCUUGUUGUUGGGGUGGAAAUACAGGAAACCCUUUUUCUUUCUUUCAAAGUUUAGGUGCUACGGAAGUAUCAUUUCAAUGUCGAUGAAUCUAUAUAUUAGAGCAAGAGAGCAAUGCUUAAUUUUUGGAGUUUCACUUUUUAAUUUAAUGAGAUCAAAUUUAUAUUUCGAGCUGAAAUUUUUUAAGCAUAUAGAAGAAUGGUUUAUCAACUUGAACAAUGCACACAACAUGAAAAUGAAUGAAAUUGUCGACUAAAUUCCCCUUAUUAUUCACAGUCCCUCAGUCAUAUUUUUCUUUGGAUUGAUAACCGGGAUAUCAGCUACGGUCAUAUAUGAAUAUAUACAUAGAAUGGAAUACAUCUAACUACGUUGUUAUUUAUAUGUUGUACCAUACUGAAUAUAGUGAUAAUUUGAGAUAUAAAAAUAUGUUAUCAAAAAUUAUCGUACUCAUUUGAUUUGUCUUUUAUGGUGUUGGUCAUAUUCUAUUGUUAAUAAUUGUGUAAUUCAAUAUUUAAAUAAAUGAUUGUUCAUCUUUA